rnacentral:sRNA from 1 species
AAUCCCAAAACAAGAUAUGUAUAUGCAUGAUUCACAAUUGCUUCGUCAAGUUAUAUACUAUUUUCAACCCAUUUCAAUUGCCGUUAACAUACGCCUGAUGCCCCUUCGCGAAUUUCACUUUCAUAUCCUGCCCACCUAUUGGCCUCGCCGUAAGUGACUGCUUCUGAUAAACGAGAUCACCAUAAACCAUAUCUAGCGUCGUAUACGAGGCAGUUUGGUUACUGUGCGGGUUGAUCCCCAGCGAUUCGAACUCGAAGCUGCGCAGAACCACCAAGAGCACCAUCCGCAUCUCCAUCAUGGCUAGCUCCUGGCCGAUGCAGCCCCGUGCACCGCGUUCGAAGGGUCGCCAAGCGUCUUUUGGGAUUGUCUGUGUGAGGAAACGUUCCGGUUGGAACUCACAGGGCGAAGGGAAUGAUUCCGAAUCGUAGUGCAUUGCCAAGAUACAUAUCAUUAUCAACUGGUCCGUGAUUUCCAGCGGUUUGCCCUGAUACAUAAUAUUCAUGCUGGAAUUGAUCAAUAACAGUAUUAGAUCGUGGUGGUGAACACUUAUAAAACGUUGUGUCUAUUUACCAAAGAAAGGAAGCAAGGGAGAAGGAAAUAAAGAAAGAAAAAAAAAAAAAAAAACUUCAUCUUACCUUUCAUCACCCUUUGCCCGGGCGACGCUGCCAAUAGGGAAUAGCCUCAAUGUUUCUUUAAUGAUGGCGGUUGUGUAGUGCAGAUCGUUGAGUUUCUCCGGGUGUGCUCUAAUCAUCUCAACAGUGCGGUUGAGAUCUGGGCUAAACACAGAAUCGUGCUCUUCACGAGCCUUCUUCAAUACUUCAGGAUGUUUGGAGAGAACCAUAAAAAUAAACUGUGUGGACGGGGAUAUCAGUAUUCAUUAUAUUCGGCAUGGGGCCUAGCGCUGUUCAAAGUCUCAAUCUUACCCCAAGGGUAUGAGCUGUAGUUUCAUGCCCGGCGGCCAAAAACGUUUUGAUGCUGCAGUCGUGUCAGCAAGGUCCUAUCUCAUUAUGAGCGGAAUGAAGACGUGAGACAUAAAAAGAAAGAUCAUCAUCAUCAUCAUCGUCGUCAGGAUGGGGACAGGUGGGGUUUACUUCGAAACAGCCAUCUCCAUAAAAUCGCUAUCACCGGCGAUGCCCAUUGGAUUAUCCAAUUUCUGGCGAAGAACCAAAUCCAUAAUCGACCUUGACUUCUUGACGGACGACGCUUCUUCCCUUUUCAUCUCGGCAAAACGCAUGAUCACCCUCUUCUCAAUAUACCGAUUGACUUUCCACACCAGAAUCCACUUGGGCACCAUGCCUAUCAGCCAGUUGCUAGUACUAAGCACACCAUCGAACGCAUAGUCCAAACCGUUCUUAAAAUUCCUGACGAGUUUCCUUCCAUCCUCGCUGUGGAACGGGCUGUUGAACACGGCGCGCCCGAUCACAUUGAAUGUCAGGUCGAUGCUCAGAGACGCCAUCGCAAAGCACUCCUGGGAUUUUGCAAACUUGGCCAGGUUAUCAUGGUAGAUCAGGAUCUCCUCGAGCAUCCCAUCCGCCAACGUGCGGAUAUAAGCUGGCGCAAAGGCUGGCACGAAGGUAGAAUGCAGCCCUUUCCAUUUCGGCCCGUUUACGGAUAUGAUCGAACUUUUCCCUAAAAAGGGGCUGAGGAACCGGCCAACGGCCGGGUCCUUGGGAAAUGCUUGCUCCGUGGUUACUUGCGCAGCCAGCUCGGGCUUACAUAGGACGACCAUGGGACUCGCAAAUGGCCAGAGGUCCAGGUAGUAAAGCUCCGGCAAAUCGUAUUUACGCGAGAGAGAGAUUAACGUAUGGUGAAUAUACACAUUGGUAGGGUAGGCCCGGUUGAUCUUGUCAACCUCGAGCCAAUUACCUUGCAGUUGACUGGAACUCAUUGCCAGGAAGUGCAUUGCUGGUAGGGGUUAGGUAUAUAUAUAUGUACAUAUGUAUGUACAUGUACAUAUAUCUCAGACCUACCAAAUGGCGACAUGACAGUCGGGCAUGGAGGAACCGUGACACGGUAUAGGAAAAUGUGGUCACAGCCCCAACAAGAAGCGCAAUAGUUGUAAGAUUGGGCGAUAUCAGAAGAGAAAUCGGCAUGAUUGGAAGGGCUGCUCAGUUCUGGAGGUCGUAUGGAGAGAGAUAGCUUGCUUGACCAUGGAAAAAAAGGAAACGUAGGAGGAGCAAAAGCAAAAGUUCAAAGGCCCUCCUUGUUGGAAGUCGCUGAACUGUUAAGUACGUUCAGUACAUGGAAAUGAAAUAAUCAACAAAGAAUCCAUCCACAGGCGAACGAAAUCAGGCCAGUGUUGAUAUUGAAUAGCAACGGAUUCUUAGUUCGAAACCCUCCGAAGAAUUUAUCCACGGACCUCUCCCCAGCCGGAGACUUCGUCCAGCGCUGACGCUGCGUGCAUUUACGCUACUGAGCUGGUAGGGAGUAGCCUCCGUUCGGCGCAAGCGUUGCCCCAAAAGAGCUGUCGGGUGUGGCAG